UCCGUAGGCGGGCAAUUAAGUCAGAGGUGAAAUCCCACAGCUCAACUGUGGAACUGCCUUUGAUACUGGUUGUCUUGAGUUAUAGUGAAGUAGAUAGAAUAUGUAGUGUAGCGGUGAAAUGCUUAGAGAUUACAUAGAAUACCGAUUGCGAAGGCAGUCUACUAACUAUAUACUGACGCUAAUGGACGAAAGCGUGGGGAGCGAACAGGAUUAGAUACCCUGGUAGUCC
rnacentral:rRNA from 1 species